AUGAAUAUAUUCUUCCCUAUCAUAAUCAUUCAUCAUUUGCUCCUCACUAUUGGGUGUAUUUUACUGACUUGUCUAACAAGUCAGACUCAUCUCUUAAUCAAAAUCCUGAUACAUCCAACACCACACCUCCUUGCCUCAAUAACCAAACCACACCUACGAUUAUUGAAGACACACAACCUCUAUUUCCAAUGCCACUGA